rnacentral:RNase_P_RNA from 1 species
UUGGCAAUCGCUGGUAUUUGCUAGAGGAAAGUCCAUGCUCGCACCAUCUGUGAUGAUGGUAGUGUUUGUGCUAGUUUAAUUAAUAAGGCUAGGUAUCAUAUUGAUAACGGCGGAUGUUUAUACCUAAGUUUACAUUUGUAGAUAUGGUAUAAUGCCCUAAGGUGUCACAGUGACGAAGUAUUUUGUGAAAACAAAGUAGUGGAACGCGAUAAACCCCGCAAGCGAGAAACCCAAAUUUGGUAGGGGAAUCUUUGAGGCUUAAUUAAGAAGGCUAAAAAGGACGAUCAUAAGAUCGUAGAUAAAUGGUUGCCACCUUUUAUAAGGUACAGAACAUGGCUUAUAA